GCCCGGGUGGUGGAAUGGCAGACACGGAGGGCUUAAACCCCUCUGCUCCGGUUACGGGGCGUGUGGGUUCGACUCCCACCCCGGGCA
rnacentral:tRNA from 1 species